GGAUCAAUAGCUCAGUGGCAGAGCUUCCGAUUGCAGACCGGAUUGUCCCGUGUUAAAUCACGGUUGGCCCU
rnacentral:tRNA from 1 species